UGCAAGUCGAACGGUGAAGCCCAGCUUGCUGGGUGGAUCAGUGGCGAACGGGUGAGUAACACGUGAGCAACCUGCCCUCCACUUCGGGAUAAGCCUUGGAAACGGGGUCUAAUACCGGAUAUGAGCGCCUGCCGCAUGGUGGGUGUUGGAAAGUUUUUCGGUGGGGGAUGGGCUCGCGGCCUAUCAGCUUGUUGGUGGGGUGAUGGCCUACCAAGGCGUCGACGGGUAGCCGGCCUGAGAGGGCGACCGGCCACACUGGGACUGAGACACGGCCCAGACUCCUACGGGAGGCAGCAGUGGGGAAUAUUGCACAAUGGGCGAAAGCCUGAUGCAGCGACGCCGCGUGAGGGAUGACGGCCUUCGGGUUGUAAACCUCUUUCAGCAGGGAAGAAGGCCUUCGGGUGGACGGUACCUGCAGAAGAAGCGCCGGCUAACUACGUGCCAGCAGCCGCGGUAAUACGUAGGGCGCAAGCGUUGUCCGGAAUUAUUGGGCGUAAAGAGCUCGUAGGCGGUUUGUCGCGUCUGGUGUGAAAACCUCAGGCUCAACCUGGGGCGUGCAUCGGGUACGGGCAGACUAGAGUGCGGUAGGGGAGACUGGAAUUCCUGGUGUAGCGGUGGAAUGCGCAGAUAUCAGGAGGAACACCGAUGGCGAAGGCAGGUCUCUGGGCCGCAACUGACGCUGAGGAGCGAAAGCAUGGGGAGCGAACAGGAUUAGAUACCCUGGUAGUCCAUGCCGUAAACGUUGGGCACUAGGUGUGGGGCUCAUUCCACGAGUUCCGUGCCGCAGCUAACGCAUUAAGUGCCCCGCCUGGGGAGUACGGCCGCAAGGCUAAAACUCAAAGGAAUUGACGGGGGGCCCGCACAAGCGGCCGGAGCAUGCCGAAUUAAUUCGAUGCAACGCGAAAAAACCUUACCAAGGCUUGACAUGCACCGGAACGCUGCCAGAAAUGGGUGGUUCCCCCAAGGUCGGUGCCACAGGUGGGUGCAUGGUUUGUCCUCCAGCUCCGUGUCCUGGAAAUGUUGGGGUAAAGUCCCCGCAAACGAGGCGCAACCCUUUGUCCCUAUGGUUGCCAAGCGGGGUAAUGCCCGGGGAACUCAUGGGGAAAACUGCCUGGGGUUCAACUUCGGAAGGAAGGGCGGGGGAAAGAACGUCAAAAUCAUGCAGUGCCUCCUUAAGGCCCUGUUGUGUUUCCACGAAUGGGCUCACAAU
rnacentral:rRNA from 1 species